AAACUUUAGAGAGUCUGCAGAUUUCUUUUGAGUAUUUGAGAACCUGAAAUAUGAGAUCCUAGACUAGAGAGAGAUUUUCAGGAACUUGAGAGAUUUUCUUCAAAAAGAGAUUGUUCCAUUGGUCCUUACUGUUGAUUUCUGAAGUUAAAACAACAUUUGGUUAGCUUGGUUGAAACAAAUUGAAAUCAAGUCUAUUUUUGUUUUCUGGUUCAUAACUGAUUCAAAGCUGUGGACUACUGCUCUUUUAGCUGUUGAUUCUGCAUACUACUGUUGCUCAAGCUAACCUCCUAUUUCUUUUACUUUGUUUCUUCCACAUCCAGGUAUCAAUUUUAGCUUCUCCAUGAUGUGGCUCUCGACUUGGAAUGAAAUAAAUGCUAUGAUGAUUUGUUCUUCUUUUUUUGUGUUCAUUCAUUUGGUUCAGUGUAGUUCGAGUAACUCUUAAGAUAAGUCUUCACAUUGUAACUAAUUAAAGACAACUGAAAUGUAUUAUUCCUUUAUUUUAGC
rnacentral:lncRNA from 1 species